UAAUACCAAGAUUAUCUUGGCCACUGUGCAGAGUAUUCUGUUCUUCUAGGAAGAAGCCAUGUUCUUCUGCCCCUGGGGCACCACUCCACAGUUCCCAGCCACCAACCAGGCAGUUCAGUUUUUUGUUUUUCUAUUGUUUUUGUUGCUUUUCUGUAUCACUCAAGGUUUAACUGUUAAUUUUCAUGGCCAUGUGGGAGGCCACAGAGCGGUCAGCUAUCGUGCUCGGAAAGUGCUGACUAUGCAAAUGCGGAUCCUGAGACCGUGGACCGUAUACAGCGAACUCACCACACGCCCUCUUCUAGGGGCAGUACACUCGAUUCGAAAGAUCUGGGAUGAGUGAGCCUCCCAUAUAAGGUAAAUUCACGCCCAUGCUACCACUGUGCACAUCUCUCAUACGACCCCCCAUGAAAAAAUAUGUUCACUGAACAUUAAGGGAUUAAAUAUCCCAGUAAAAAGGAAUUUAUUGGGGAGGGAACUCAUACCAGAGAGGGCUGAUGUGGUGUGCCUGCAAGAGACACACUACAGGACAAAUAACCACCCCAACACGCUGCAGACAUGAUACCCCUGGCAGUUUCAUUCUACUGCACCCACAAAAUCAAAAGGGGCAUUAAUCCUGAUCAGCAAUUCUAUAGCCUUCACAUUACAGGUGGAAGAUAUAGAUGACCAGGGACGAUACGUCAUAAUCACAGGUCUCUUCAACAACAUGCUCUACACAAUUGCUAACAUCUACGCACCAAACAACAGCCAGAAAAAACGUCUUACGUAGCAUACUACAAAAACUGUCACGCAUACAGCAGGGGAUAACGGUCAUAUGUGGGAACUUUAACCAAGUCCUUGAUCCCACUGUUGACACAACUUUAUCUAGACAUAGCAACAGAUUUAGAACCCUUAAGAAACAAUGUAAACAGUUACAAAAACUCCUUUUCUUCCACCACAUGUAUGACAUUUGGAGAAUUGCACAUAUGGGCGAAUGCGCUUACACUCACUUCUCCCCAGUGCACAAUUCAUAUUCAAGGAUAGACAGGUUCUUAAUGCACGGGACAGCCCUGUCUCAAGUAGUGAAGUGUGACUUAGGAGACAUAACAUGGUCGGACCACGUGCUGGUUACGCUGGAACUAAAAGACCAAUAUGACUUUAAGCACCGAAGCCCCUGGAGAAUACAAUCCACAAUGUUACAUGACACAACUUUUAUACACAACCUGAGGAGCGCACUCCAACACUACUUUACAGAGAAUGACACACUGGGUAUCUCCCCCAGCACUAUAUGGGCUGUGCACAAAGCUGUAGCUAGGGGAAUUCUUAAAGUGGCAGAAGGAACUUUACCACCUGAACGCCCAAAACCAGAUUAACCCAUCACAAGACUUAAAAUCUAAAAUUGCCCAAGUAACUAGGAAUCUGCAUCAGCAUGCCUUAGAUAAAACAGGGCUCUACCUAUGAGAACUCAGGGCCACCUCCUUUGCCCAGGGAAACAAAGCUGGC